rnacentral:rRNA from 1 species
CUCCUGGAAACGGGUGGUAAUGCCGGAUGCUCCGGUUGGAUGCAUGUCCUUCCGGGAAAGAUUUCAUCGGUAUGGGAUGGGGUCGCGUCCUAUCAGGUAGUCGGCGGGGUAACGGCCCACCGAGCCUACGACGGGUAGCCGGCCUGAGAGGGCGACCGGCCACAUUGGGACUGAGAUACGGCCCAGACUCCUACGGGAGGCAGCAGUGGGGAAUAUUGCACAAUGGGCGCAAGCCUGAUGCAGCGACGCCGCGUGCGGGAUGACGGCCUUCGGGUUGUAAACCGCUUUUGAUCGGGAGCAAGCCUUCGGGUGAGUGUACCUUUCGAAUAAGCACCGGCUAACUACGUGCCAGCAGCCGCGGUAAUACGUAGGGUGCAAGCGUUAUACGGAAUUAUUGGGCGUAAAGGGCUCGUAGGCGGUUCGUCGCGUCCGGUGUGAAAGUCCAUCGCUUAACGGUGGAUCCGCGCCGGGUACGGGCGGGCUUGAGUGCGGUAGGGGAGACUGGAAUUCCCGGUGUAACGGUGGAAUGUGUAGAUAU